rnacentral:rRNA from 1 species
UACGUAGGUGGCAAGCGUUGUCCGGAUUUACUGGGCGUAAAGAGCGCGCAGGCGGUCGUUCAAGUCGCGUGUGAAAGCCCCCGGCUCAACUGGGGAGGGUCACGCGAUACUGAUCGACUCGAAGGCAGGAGAGGGUAGUGGAAUUCCCGGUGUAGUGGUGAAAUGCGCAGAUAUCAGGAGGAACACCGGUGGCGAAGGCGGGUCUCUGGGCCGAUACUGACGCUGAGGAGCGAAAGCAUGGGUAGCGAACAGG